rnacentral:tRNA from 1 species
GGGAAUACAGCUCAGUGAUAGAGUGCUUGUUCAGCAUGUAAGAGAACCAGGGUUCAAUCUCCAGUAUUACCA